UACGAAGGUGGCAAGCGUUGUUCGGAUUCACUGGGCGUACAGGGUGUGUAGGCGGUUUGGUAAGCCUUCUGUUAAAGCUUCGGGCCCAACCCGGAAAGCGCAGAGGGUACUGCCAGGCUAGAGGACGGGAGAGGGAGAUGGAAUUCCGCAUGUAGCAGUGAAAUGCGUAGAUAUGCGGAGGAACACCAAUGGCGAAGGCAAUCUCCUGGACCUGCACUGACGCUCAUGCACGAAAGCGUGGGGAGCAAACAGG
rnacentral:rRNA from 1 species